rnacentral:lncRNA from 1 species
GGGUGGAGGUGCUAAGGAUUGAACUCAGGGCCCUUUACCAUUGAGCUGCACCCCCAACCUUUUUUACUUUUUAUUUUGAGAAACAGGGACUCACUCAGUUGCUAAGGCUUGCCUCAAACUUGGGAUCCUCCUGCCUAGCCUCCCAAGUUGGUGGGAUUGUAGGCAUGUGGCACUGUUCCCAGUCUAAGAAGGUUUUUAAUAAUAAAUAAUUUGUUAAAUAAAGAGCUAUUGAGAUUUUGGUUAGGAAAGUUAUAUUUUCAAGGAAUUUAUUCACGUGGCCCAAGUUGUCAGGUUUGUAGUUUUGUAAUAGUCCUUUCUUUCCUUUUAUGUCUGUAGGUACUGUGGCGAAAACUACUUUUUCAUUCUAAUUCUUGUAAUUUCCUCUUGUUUGUUUGUUAGUUUUUGUGGCACUGGGAUGGAACCCAGGACCUUGCGCAUGGUAGGCAAGUGCUCCAUCACUGAGGUAUCUCCCAGCCCUGAUACUGGUAAUUUCGGUUCUCUCUUUCCUUAUGAGUCCAGCACUAGGGAUCUAUUAACUUUGUUCAUCUGAUUUUCCAUGAACCAAUGUUGGCUUUGUUAGUUUUUCUCAAUUGUUUUUGAUUUCAAUGAUUUCUGUUCUUUAUUAGUUCCUCUCUUAGUUUAGCUUGGAUUUACUUUAUUCUUUUUUCUUUAGCUUCCUAAGAUAAGCCUUAGAUCAUUGAGUUGACUUUUUAGUAUAAAUAUUUAAUCUAAGUUUUCUAUUAAAUGCUACUUAAGUUAUAUCUUGACCAUAUUAACAUUUUUAUCAUCAUCAAGUUUAAAUAUUUUGAUUUCCUAGAGUUCUUUGACUCAUGAAUUAGCUAGAAGUGUGUUGUCUAGUUAGCAAAUGUUUGUCUCCCUCCCACCCCAAAGAUCAUAUUGGUACUGAUUUCUACUUUAAUCCCAUUGAGAUCAGAAAAUAUCCUCUUUAUAGUUUCAGUCCUUUUGGUUUUAUCAAGACCUGUUUUAUGACCCAGUAUUUAUUUUAUCAAUUUUUGCUUUGUAGUCUAGUGUUCUGUAACUGUUUUCCUAAUCAAACAAUUUUUUGGUGUCAGGGUUAGAACCAGGGCCUUAGGCAUGCUAGGCCAGAACUCACUGAGCUUCGCCCCACCCCAGUACUGAACAUUUUAUCAUUGUGAAAUUUCCCUCUUUAAUCUCUGGUAACACUUUUUGGUUAAAAGUCUACUUUAUCUAACGUGAGUGUAGCCACUCCAGCCUUAUACUUCACUAUUUACAGUGUACUUCUGUACCUUUUUCUAUUCAUUUACUUACUACCUCUCUGUGUCUAUUUUAAAGUGUGUUUCUUACAUAAAGCAUGUAUUAAGGGCUAGCAUUUUUUAGUCUAUCUCGACCUUUUAAUUGGUUUACCAUUAAAUGUAGUUUCUUUUGGGGGGUAUAGCACUAGGGAUUGAACCCAGAGGUGCUCAAUCGCUGAGCCACAUUCCCAGAUUGUUUUUUUUAAAUGUUGAGCAGGGUCUCACUGAGUUGCUUAGGGCCUCUCUAAGUUGUUGCGGCUGGCUUUGAAGUUACAGUCCUGCCUCAGCCUCCUGAGCCACUGGGAUUACAGGAAUAUACCACUGUGUCCUAGCUAAAUGUAAUUAGUGGUUUUUUUUUUUUUUUUGGUACCAGGGAUUAAACCCAUGGGCAGCUAACCACUGAGCCACAUCCUAACCUUUUUUUUUUUGUUUUUUUAUUUUGAGAUAGGGUCUCACUAAAUUGCUUAGAGCCUUUUUAAGUUGCUGAAGUUGGUUUUGAACUUGCUUUAGCCUCCCGAGCUGCAGGAUUACAGGUGUGCGCUACUGCACCCAGCCAGUUUGAUUUAGAUCUAACAUUUUACUGUCUUUUUUGUUGUUGUUUGGUUGGAUUAGUUGGUUGUUUGAGAAGUACAUUUAAUUUAUUGGUGUUUUAGCUGUACUCUGCAUAAUUAUUUUAGUGUUAUAUUAUAAGGAUCACAAUAUAUGUUCCUACUUUUUCAUUCUGCUAACAGUAAAUAUGCCAUUUCACAUAAAAUGUAGAAUCCUUUAAAUCUAUAGGUCGAUUUAUCAUCCCUAUCUUUUAUAUUGUAGUUGUCACAUGUAUUGAAUCUAUAAACUCUGUAAUAUAAUUUGUGCUUUAAAUAAUAUGUAUUUUACUUUUUUAGAGUACAUUCUUUUUUUAAUACAUUUAUUUUAUGUAUGUUUUAUGUGGUGCCGAGGAUCAAACCCACGGCCUCAUACGUUCGAGGCAAGCGCUCUUCCACUGAGCCACAGCCCCAGCCCUUAAAUAAUAUGUAUUUUAAAGAAGAGAAAAAAAAAUUUUUAAAUGUACCUUUUUAUAUUUAUCUGCGUAUUUACCCUUCUGGAAGGUCUGGUAUCAUUUCUCUUCAGCCUGAAGAACUUCGUUUCUACCAUUUUAUGUAGCACAG